CCCUUGAUGCUUCAGUUCAGAUCCGUCCUACGUCGCUUGCUCAUCCGGCACAGUUGGUUAGGAGUUCCAUGAUGACUUUUCGAGGAAUAAGUGUGUGCGUGGUGUUUGUCGCCGUGAUGCUGAUGACGUGCUCUGCCCAGACGAGCACCGAACAGGAAGUUGAAACGGACUCCGUGAAACCCGGUUCCUGUCCUCCUAUCACGGCGUCACAGCUUGUACAGCAGGGCAUCAAGAAUCUGGAGUGCCAGCAGGAUUCGGAUUGUGAUGACACUGACAAAUGCUGCUUGGUUCCUGGUGGUUUAUCUUGCGUUGAGCCAGAGGUCGGAUCGGAUGAGGAGAUGAGGAGAUGAGGAGAUCAUGGUUAGCAGACAGUUCCAGAAGAUUCGAUUGUCUCGGAGAUAACCAUGGUUCAGAAUGAGCACACACAGUGGCCGCAGCCUUGUUUCCAGAAGACUGUGUCGAUUUAUAAAUUGAUUUGCUGU